AUAUAGAAUAGAAAAAGAGAUCAAAUACCUUUCCUAUUAACAUAAGACAUCCCUCCUAAUCCAAGGCAUUCAAGAACAACUAUCAAUUCAUUCGACUUAAAUCAGUUUCUUCAGCAGCUCAAUUAAGCCCAUAUUUUUCGGAUUCUAGUUCUGAUGAACAAAGUGGAAAUACCCAAAUGAAAAAUAGUACCAAUAAUAUUGUUGAGGUAAAUUCUUAUUGGGUCACUGAAAUACUCAACAGUUUAAAGGAAGAGCCUGAAAAUGCUUUAUUAUUUUUUCAUCAAUUAAAAGAAAGUGGGUUUAAACAUGAUGUACAAACUUAUAUGGCUAUGGUUCGGACAUUUUGUUAUUGGGGUAUGGAUAUGAAACUGGAUUCUUUGUUUUUGGAGGUUAUAAUUUGUGGGGAAAAAAGGAUUUGGGGUUUGAGGUUUCUGAUUUGUUUGAGGAACUAGUGGAGGGGUUAAAUGCUGAGGGCCCUAGUUCGUUGGUUCGGGAUUUGGAUGCAUUGGUUAAGGCUUAUGUGAGUUCAGGUAUAGAUAAUCAGUUUUGACGAGCCCUCAUAAUAGAUGAAAUUGGUAUUCAGCGAAGGAUCAAGAAGACUCCAUCUCAUUUGGAGUGCAGCUGAGUCAUCAUGUCAAAAUUUUGCUACAUACUUAUGGGUUAUAAUUUGUGGGAAAAAAAGGAUUUGGGGUUUGAGGUUUCUGAUUUGUUUGAGGAACUAGUGGACGGGUUAAAUGCUGAGGGCCCUAGUUCGGUUGUUCGGGCUUUGGAUGCAUUGAUAAAGGCUUAUGUGAGUUCAGGUAUGAUAAGGCUAUCCCUUUUUUCUUUUGGCAUGAUCCAAAUAAUACAAAUAAAACGAGCAAAAUACGCAACUU